GAUGAACGCUGGCGGCGUGCCUAACACAUGCAAGUCGAACGAAGCUUGACGGAUGAUUUCUUCGGAAUGAAACCAGAUAUGACUUAGUGGCGGACGGGUGAGUAACACGUGAGCAACCUGCCUUUCAGAGGGGGAUAACGGCUGGAACGGGUCGUUAAUCCCGCCUGAUGUGUCCGGAUGGCAUCACCUGAACUCCAAAACUUUAUCGCUGAAAGAUGGGCUCGCGUCUGAUUAGAUAGUUGGUGGGGUAACGGCCUACCAAGUCUACGUCCAGUAGCCGGACUGAGAGGAUGAACGGCCACAUUGGGACUGAGAUACGGCCCAGACUCCUACGGGAGGCAGCAGUGGGGAAUAUUGCACAAUGGGGGAAACCCUGAUGCAGCAACGCCGCGUGAAGGAUGACGGUUUUCGGAUUGUAAACUUCUUUUCUUAGGGACGAAGACAGUGACGGUAGCUAAGGAAUAAGCAGCGGCUAACUACGUG
rnacentral:rRNA from 1 species